GAAUUCGCCCUUGGGGAAUUUUCCGCAAUGGGGGCAACCCUGACGGAGCAACGCCGCGUGGGGGAGGAAUGUCUGUGGAUUGUAAACCCCUUUUCUCAGGGAAGAAGUUCUGACGGUACCUGAGGAAUCAGCAUCGGCUAACUCCGUGCCAGCAGCCGCGGUAAGACGGAGGAUGCAAGCGUUAUCCGGAAUUAUUGGGCGUAAAGCGUCCGUAGGCGGUUUAUCAAGUCUGUCGUUAAAGACUGCAGCUUAACUGUGGGCGAGCGGUGGAAACUGAUUAACUAGAGUGUGGUAGGGGUAGAGGGAAUUCCCAGUGUAGCGGUGAAAUGCGUAGAUAUUGGGAAGAACACCAGUGGCGAAGGCGCUCUACUGGGCCACAACUGACGCUGAGGGACGAAAGCUAGGGGAGUGAAAGGGAUUAGAUACCCCUGUAGUCAAGGGCGAA
rnacentral:rRNA from 1 species